UCCUAAUAUGCCGAGGCUGACCUCAAAGCUCCAUUGUUGGACCAGUUCCAAGAUCGUGCUAGAAUGGUUAACCAAACCAGCGUGUCACUGGACAACGUUCGUUCCCAACAACAGGGUGACUAAAAUCACCGAAUCAACAUAGAAAAUUGUCCAUCGAUUCGUCCAGCCAUGUUGUAAGCUAUCACGCUGUCCGGGGUCCGUGUAGAGCAGAUAUUUUUCUGAAGAAGACCGCUGCUUGAGUCACCAGCGUCCUGUGCCCGCGACAAGUUUGAUUUUCUCUUUGAAUCACCUUCUAGAACAGAUAUACUAAUCAGGUCAUGCGGCCGCGUAACGACUUCCGACAGUUUGCGGUAUGAUGAACGGCCUCCUAUAUUCCUACUGUACGAAUGUUUACUCUCGGGGCUUCUGGUAAAAUGUCAUCCACCUAGAGCCUACAUCCGACCGAAAUAUUUCUUGCUGCCAAGUCCAGGUCGACAGUGGAAGGACUUUCGUCGGCGUUUCACCGUGCUUAUGUGAGUCUGUAGCAGCAGCUCACCUUGCAAUUCAUUCCUACUGGGGCACCACAUAUGGAGGGCAUAUGGGAAGCUGGUGUCAAGAGCUUCAAGACCUUAUUUUACAAAUCCACCGCUACACGCAAACCGCUAUCUUCGACGUCCGAGGAACCAACUGAUCUCUUAGCGUUGACACCAGGGCAUUUUCUUGUCGGCGGACCUUUGUUGACCAUAGAGGAACCUGAAAAAAGGGCGAAUCCAAGUCCAUUCUGAACCGGUGGCAGCACUUAAAGUCUCUCCAACAACAAUUCCGCCUUCGCUGGAAGGAUGAGUACCUUAAAAAGCUCCUCAAACGCAACAAGUUUUAAGUUCCCACAGAAAAUCGGUUAAUCGAAAGUCGGUUAUUCCGGGAACCGAUCGCAGUGACCAUCUUCCAGUAGAGCCGUCGUUGUAACGAGCAGCGUGUCCCCUUGACCUUAGUCCGUAACGAAUAUCCCUGUUAUUGUUAAUCAGCCUUGUUUGUUUUUUUCUUUACUAUGACCAGUAUAAUGGCUCCCCGUCUACGUAGCGCUCAGGCAUUGGAUAGCAGACGUUCGAGAGGAAUUCGAUUCUACCGAUGCCGAGUUCAUGCCGCGGAAUUCAUCCUUUUCGAAAGUUUUAGAUGUUCAUAAAGCUAAGUGCAGAGAAUCGGCUGCGGGCACAAACAACAGGAACAAGUCCAGCUCCCAGUCCCAGCUCGCUUCUUCACAGCGUUCGGGCCGGCAAGAUCGCAAGGCUUCUUGGCUUAAGCAGUUCGAUUUUGUGACUGAUUAUAUAAAAAAAUGUUUUUUUAAAUAAGAACGAGUUAUCAGAAAGAUAACUGCAGUUCAUCGGUAUUCAAUUGUAAAGUAUUAUCAAACAUAAAAUACAAAUACAACUCCUACACAUUCAUACUCACAUUAUGCAGUCAGCCUUGAGACACCCUUUAAGAAAUAAGAAUCGCGUCACCCUCUAAAAAAUAAGAAUCCAAUGGAAAAUUACCAAAUUAUUAGGAAGCCAAAUUACCAUGAAACAAAAAACCUCAUAUUUUGAUGAUAAAAGUAGCAAAAACAUUAUUUGUCAAAAAAAAUGAGGAAAGCUUAAAACUCAAAAAUCCUGAGAGCGUCGACGUGAAAUAUUCGCCAAUAAAAAUACAAAUAUCUUGGGAAUAAAAAAUCCUGAGAGUGACGACGAAGUUAAAAUCGUUGAGUUAUUCGACAAACAAUAGACAAGUGAUAUAGGUACUGAUCAAUUGGACGGACUAAAGGAACAAAUAGUUCACUAUAUUGAAAAAGAGAAUUCAAAGAGAAAUAUGCAAAUUCCUCUACGAACAGACACAAAGUGGAACAAAAAUCUUAUCCGCGACAGUUAAAUAUACGGGAAACAAUAUCCGCAUGCUUCUUCUGUCAACGACUUUUUGAAUAGCGAAAUCAGUAGAAUGUUAUCAGAAAAAAAAAGUAAGGCCUACCAGAGGCCCUUGCAAUUUACCAGUUCAGGUAGUCCAAAAGAAUGGAGAAAAUGAAGACGGAAGCCGGAAGUUAAGACUCGUUAAGACUGGAAAGUGUCGGAGCCAUUUUUGUUGCCGCGCCGAACUCCGAUCUUGGUUUCCCAGAUAAGUUAAACAAAUAGAAAUUAAAUUAGUUAUCCCACCCGUGAAACCAGGCUGCUUAUGGCUUUUAUAAACAAUAAUUUCAAUCUCUGCAUUCGCUUUUAUCUUUGCCUUUGGCUUUGAGGUCUGAGGUCCGAUCUUGGUUCCCCAGCUAAAUUAAACAAAUCAAAAUUAAAGUAAACAUCAGCUUAUGUUCGAAGCCCAAUCAAUUGCGCCUUUUGCGUUCCAAGCGUCUGCCAAAUUGCAUCGGUCAGCAUAAUUGAAUUUCACAAUGAGAUGAAACAGUUUCAUCUUUCGACAUAAAUUGAAGUUCUAAAAGUUGAAAAAGAAAAGUUUCUAGCCGAGGUACGUUGGAUUUAA